rnacentral:rRNA from 1 species
GAGCGAACGGACGAGAAGCUUGCUUCUCUGAUGUUAGCGGCGGACGGGUGAGUAACACGUGGAUAACCUACCUAUAAGACUGGGAUAACUUCGGGAAACCGGAGCUAAUACCGGAUAAUAUUUUGAACCGCAUGGUUCAAAAGUGAAAGACGGUCUUGCUGUCACUUAUAGAUGGAUCCGCGCUGCAUUAGCUAGUUGGUAAGGUAACGGCUUACCAAGGCAACGAUGCAUAGCCGACCUGAGAGGGUGAUCGGCCACACUGGAACUGAGACACGGUCCAGACUCCUACGGGAGGCAGCAGUAGGGAAUCUUCCGCAAUGGGCGAAAGCCUGACGGAGCAACGCCGCGUGAGUGAUGAAGGUCUUCGGAUCGUAAAACUCUGUUAUUAGGGAAGAACAUAUGUGUAAGUAACUGUGCACAUCUUGACGGUACCUAAUCAGAAAGCCACGGCUAACUACGUGCCAGCAGCCGCGGUAAUACGUAGGUGGCAAGCGUUAUCCGGAAUUAUUGGGCGUAAAGCGCGCGUAGGCGGUUUUUUAAGUCUGAUGUGAAAGCCCACGGCUCAACCGUGGAGGGUCAUUGGAAACUGGAAAACUUGAGUGCAGAAGAGGAAAGUGGAAUUCCAUGUGUAGCGGUGAAAUGCGCAGAGAUAUGGAGGAACACCAGUGGCGAAGGCGACUUUCUGGUCUGUAACUGACGCUGAUGUGCGAAAGCGUGGGGAUCAAACAGGAUUAGAUACCCUGGUAGUCCACGCCGUAAACGAUGAGUGCUAAGUGUUAGGGGGUUUCCGCCCCUUAGUGCUGC